rnacentral:RNase_P_RNA from 1 species
GAAGCCCGCCAGACCACCGCUGGUGCAAUUUGGGAAACCAAGCACUGGAGGAACGUCCGGACUGCAUAGGGCAGCGUAGCAGUUAACGACUGUCCACUGAACGGUUGUGUGCGCAAGUACAUAGCCUUAAGGUGAGGAUUAGAGCAACAGAGACGAGUCGGUGGUGGCGCAAGCCAUCAUCGGGUGAAACGGGCAAUCUCUACGCGCAGCAAUACCAAGUAGGCCAACGCAAAGCGAGGCGGUUCGCCGCAGCGCCCUGACCGGGACCCCCGGAGUUGGCGGGUAGGUAGCACCGAGCCGUUUGGGUGACCAGCGGCCCAGAGUAAUGGUGCUCACAGGGUGGGUAACUCCCCUGCACAGAAUCCGGCUUAUCGGUGGGCUUCACAC